rnacentral:misc_RNA from 1 species
UCUCCGUUGGUGAACCAGCGGAGGGAUCAUUACCGAGUUACAACUCCCAAACCCAAUGUGAACCAUACCAAACUGUUGCCUCGGCGGGGUCACGCCCCGGGUGCGUCGCAGCCCCGGAACCAGGCGCCCGCCGGAGGGACCAACCAAACUCUUUCUGUAGUCCCCUCGCGGACGUUAUUUUUACAGCUCUGAGCAAAAAUUCAAAAUGAAUCAAAACUUUCAACAACGGAUCUCUUGGUUCUG